CCUACGGGCGGCUGCAGUGGGGAAUAUUGGACAAUGGGCGAAAGCCUGAUCCAGCCAUGCCGCGUGUGUGAAGAAGGCCUUCGGGUUGUAAAGCACUUUCAGUGGGGAAGAAAGCCUUGGGGCUAAUACCCUCGAGGAAGGACAUCACCCACAGAAGAAGCACCGGCUAACUCCGUGCCAGCAGCCGCGGUAAUACGGAGGGUGCGAGCGUUAGUCGGAAUUACUGGGCGUAAAGCGCGCGUAGGCGGUCUGAUAAGCCGGUUGUGAAAGCCCCGGGCUCAACCUGGGAACGGCAUCCGGAACUGUCAGGCUAGAGUGCAGGAGAGGAAGGUAGAAUUCCCGGGGUAGCGGUGAAAUGCGUAGAGAUCGGGAGGAAUACCAGUGGCGAAGGCGGCCUUCUGGACUGACACUGACGCUGAGGUGCGAAAGCGUGGGUAGCAAACAGGAUUAGAUACCCUUGUAGUC
rnacentral:rRNA from 1 species